AGGACAUCAAUCUCCUUCCAUUGUCAGCUUCCAUCAUAUUCACGGAUGCAUUGUUGUGAGGGGGCAUUGAGUUAUUAUUUACAUUUGGCCCCUUGGGGGAGAACAUGAUUGCCUUAGAAUCAAUAAGAUCUUAAACCUUGUACUUUAAUGCUUUAUAAUUCUCGAUCGAAUGCCCAGGAGCGCCAGAAUGAAAUUGACAGCGGGAAUUUGC
rnacentral:lncRNA from 1 species